GAGAGGAAACUGGAUCAAACCAUCAUGCGGAAGCGAGUGGACAUCCAGGAGGCUCUGAAGAGGCCCAUGAAGCAAAAGCGGAAGCUGCGACUCUAUAUCUCCAACACUUUUAACCCUGCGAAGCCUGAUGCUGAGGAUUCUGACGGCAGCAUUGCCUCCUGGGAGCUACGGGUGGAGGGGAAGCUCCUGGAUGAUGUACGUCCCGGCCCAGCCCAGCAAACAGAAGCGGAAGUUCUCUUCUUUCUUCAAGAGUUUGGUCAUCGAGCUGGACAAAGAUCUUUACGGCCCUGACAACCACCUCGUUGAGUGGCAUCGGACACCCACGACCCAGGAGACGGAUGGCUUCCAGGUGAAACGGCCUGGGGACUUGAGUGUGCG
rnacentral:sRNA from 1 species